AGGCAGAGUCAUUCUGCUAGGAGACUGACGUGGGGGCUAACCUGGGUUUUCCAAGCCAGGCACAGAAAAUGGAAGGGCAGAUACACCACCCAAGACUAGUCUUGCAAGAUUGUUGGUGUACGCUUGUGGGAGGCCAGAGGGACAAGGAAGGAUUCAAUGUGAUUACAAUUAACAACUGCCACUAUCAGGAUUGCUAAAAUCUGUCAAGAAAUCUGCUAACAAAAAGGGGUUAGUGUGUGGGCUGUCCUGGGGAAAAGUGGAGGAUCACAGCAGGGAGAGGAGAGCCCCUUGGUUCAGAUGGAUGGUGAGUGAAACAGAAGAGAUCCACUGCUUCACUCAUAAAUACAAAUUCUUCUUUGGCUUUAAAGCCCAUUCCAGUCUGGCUCCUUCUCAUGCUUUACUCCACUCCCCAAACUCCGACAUCCAGCUGGACUUGCCACCCUCCGGUCCCUCCUGGCUCUGGCUGUGCCCCCCAUGCCGGGGUAUCCUCCCUCUUCACUAAGAACUUUUGGGAUCAUGACCUCCUUUAAGACUUGCCCAAACACUGAUUCCUGCAGAAGGCCAUUCUCUCGUAGGCUGACCUUGCAUUUAUUUUUACACAUCUUGUAUGUUCCCAUUUCCUGACACGUGGGGUCCCCCAUUAGAAUGUACACUCCCUGAGGGCAAGGCCUGGCUUUCCAUUUCUCUGAAUCCCCAGACCCUCACACACAGUCUACAGGUACCUAACAAAUGCCUGAUGACUGACUGACUGAUAUUCUGUUUGUUUUCCCUGCCAAAGAAAAUUAUCUUUGUACUAGAAAAGAGAGAACAGAAAUGGCUAACAGGGAGUUGACAUCUGAGAUAAUUAGGGAAACAGUAAGACAGCAUCGAGCUACCCUUGAUGAUUUGAUGAAUUCAAGUCACCAGACCCAAAUGAAUCAGAACCCAGAAUAAUAAAAGAACUGACAGAUGUGAUGGCCUGGCUUUUGUCAAUAAUCUUUGAAAGGGAUCUUCUAUCAGGAGACGUACCACGUGACUGGAAAAGAGCAACUGUCCUGACUGUUUUCUUUAAAACGUGCAGAGAAACGAGUGUGCAAACUACUGCCAGCGAUUCCCGCUGCAGUGGACGGAGAACAGGACAGCCACUACAGAAACGGUUUUUACAAAUGCCAAAGCCAGUUGGAUGAAAUCAUUUUAAAGGCCACAGGUGUGCCUGACGUGAGGCAUAUUGACUCCAGUCAAUCUCCAAGUUGUUUUUGAAUGAGCAAUUAACGUGGGCUCCCCAGAAGGUGAUCACUCCUAAAUUUCUCUUCUCUGUCCCUUAUUACCCUGCCACAGGGCCAAUCAGACAAUUCAAAUAAAAAUAUAGAAGGGUGGAAAGA